ensembl:snRNA U6 U6 spliceosomal RNA
GUUCUUGCUUCAGCAGCCAUAUACUAAAAUUGGAAUGAUACGGAGAAAAUUAGCAUGGCCCCUGUGCCAGGAUGACACGCACAUUUGUGAAGCAUGCUAUAUUAAA